GCUUGCUACCUGCCGGCGAGUGGCGAACGGGUGAGUAAUACAUCGGAACGUGCCCUGUAGUGGGGGAUAACUAGUCGAAAGACUAGCUAAUACCGCAUACGACCUGAGGGUGAAAGUGGGGGACCGCAAGGCCUCAUGCUAUAGGAGCGGCCGAUGUCUGAUUAGCUAGUUGGUGGGGUAAAGGCCCACCAAGGCGACGAUCAGUAGCUGGUCUGAGAGGACGAUCAGCCACACUGGGACUGAGACACGGCCCAGACUCCUACGGGAGGCAGCAGUGGGGAAUUUUGGACAAUGGGGGCAACCCUGAUCCAGCAAUGCCGCGUGUGUGAAGAAGGCCUUCGGGUUGUAAAGCACUUUUGUCCGGAAAGAAAUCGCACUGGUUAAUACCUGGUGUGGAUGACGGUACCGGAAGAAUAAGGACCGGCUAACUACGUGCCAGCAGCCGCGGUAAUACGUAGGGUCCAAGCGUUAAUCGGAAUUACUGGGCGUAAAGCGUGCGCAGGCGGUUGUGCAAGACCGAUGUGAAAUCCCCGGGCUUAACCUGGGAAUUGCAUUGGUGACUGCACGGCUAGAGUGUGUCAGAGGGAGGUAGAAUUCCACGUGUAGCAGUGAAAUGCGUAGAGAUGUGGAGGAAUACCGAUGGCGAAGGCAGCCUCCUGGGAUAACACUGACGCUCAUGCACGAAAGCGUGGGGAGCAAACAGGAUUAGAUACCCUGGUAGUCCACGCCCUAAACGAUGUCAACUAGUUGUUGGGGAUUCAUUUCCUUAGUAACGUAGCUAACGCGUGAAGUUGACCGCCUGGGGAGUACGGUCGCAAGAUUAAAACUCAAAGGAAUUGACGGGGACCCGCACAAGCGGUGGAUGAUGUGGAUUAAUUCGAUGCAACGCGAAAAACCUUACCUACCCUUGACAUGCCACUAACGAAGCAGAGAUGCAUUAGGUGCUCGAAAGAGAAAGUGGACACAGGUGCUGCAUGGCUGUCGUCAGCUCGUGUCGUGAGAUGUUGGGUUAAGUCCCGCAACGAGCGCAACCCUUGUCUCUAGUUGCUACGAAAGGGCACUCUAGAGAGACUGCCGGUGACAAACCGGAGGAAGGUGGGGAUGACGUCAAGUCCUCAUGGCCCUUAUGGGUAGGGCUUCACACGUCAUACAAUGGUGCAUACAGAGGGUUGCCAAGCCGCGAGGUGGAGCUAAUCCCAGAAAAUGCAUCGUAGUCCGGAUCGUAGUCUGCAACUCGACUACGUGAAGCUGGAAUCGCUAGUAAUCGCGGAUCAGCAUGCCGCGGUGAAUACGUUCCCGUGGUCUUGUACACACCGCCCGUCACACCAUGGGAGUGGGCUUUACCAGAAGUAG
rnacentral:rRNA from 1 species